CCUACGGGAGGCAGCAGUGAGGAAUAUUGGUCAAUGGGCGCGAGCCUGAACCAGCCAAGCAGCGUGAAGGAAGACUGCUCUAUGGGUUGUAAACUUCUUUUAUACAGGAAUAAAGUGAGAUACGUGUGCCUGUUUGUAUGUAUUUUAUGAAUAAGGAUCGGCUAACUCCGUGCCAGCAGCCGCGGUAAUACGGAGGAUCCAAGCGUUAUCCGGAUUUAUUGGGUUUAAAGGGUGCGUAGAUGGGCUGUUAAGUUAGUGGUGAAAUCUUGCGGCUCAACUGCGGAAUUGCAUGUGAUACUGUCAGCCUUGAGAGUAGUUGAGGUAGGCGGAAUUCGUGGUGUAGCGGUGAAAUGCUUAGAGAUCACGCAGAACACCGAUUGCGAAGGCAGCCUACCAAGCUACCUCUGACGUUGAGGCACGAAAGUGUGGGGAUCAAACAGGAUUAGAUACCCUAGUAGUC
rnacentral:rRNA from 1 species